rnacentral:rRNA from 1 species
AGUGAACGCUGGCGGUAGGCCUAACACAUGCAAGUCGAACGGCAGCACAGUAAGAGCUUGCUCUUACGGGUGGCGAGUGGCGGACGGGUGAGGAAUACAUCGGAAUCUACUUUUUCGUGGGGGAUAACGUAGGGAAACUUACGCUAAUACCGCAUACGACCUACGGGUGAAAGCAGGGGAUCUUCGGACCUUGCGCGAUUGCAUGAGCCGAUGUCGGAUUUGCUAGUUGGCGGGGUAAAGGCCCACCAAGGCGACGAUCCGUAGCUGGUCUGAGAGGAUGAUCAGCCACACUGGAACUGAGACACGGUCCAGACUCCUACGGGAGGCAGCAGUGGGGAAUAUUGGACAAUGGGCGCAAGCCUGAUCCAGCCAUACCGCGUGGGUGAAGAAGGCCUUCGGGUUGUAAAGCCCUUUUGUUGGGAAAGAAAAGCAGCAGGUUAAUACCCCGCUGUUCUGACGGUACCCAAAGAAUAAGCACCGGCUAACUUCGUG